rnacentral:piRNA from 1 species
UGGGACAGUUUCUAGCCCCCUAGGUGAUGC